GUGCUCGCUUUGGCAGUACACAUACUAAAAUCGAAAUGAUACAGGGAAGAUCAGCAUGGCCUCUGUGCAAGGAUGACACGCAGAUUUGUGAAGAGCUCCAUAUUUUU
ensembl:snRNA U6 U6 spliceosomal RNA